CAUGAUAUAUCAAAUAAUUCAUUAAACCAAAGAAAUUGUAUAAAAUUUUCUAGUACAAAAUUUUCUUAUAUCAUACCGUAACACAAUUAUUACUUUUAUAAUGCCAAAAAGAAGUCCUAAAUGGAGCUGAAAAGCAUACCGUAACACAAUUAUUACUUUUAACUUACCUUAAAAUAAGAGGAGAGAUGGGAUUUUUGCUAUUGAUUGUGUGCACUCAUGACAUUAAUGUCCUGGAAAUAUUGAGGACAUGUUCUACGAACUC
rnacentral:lncRNA from 1 species